AUAAAAGCUGUGAUGAGAAAGAGUAAUUGGACAGUUUCUUUUACAGAGAGCCCCUCAGUGCUGAAAGGGGGCAAAGAAUAGUUCCAAUGAAUAUGGCCUCGGAGCUGCACCUCGAAACCCAUUAGGGAAGUAGGAUGUGACGGUGGCACCCGUUAUAGUGCUAGGGUAUAAGCAACAUAAUUAAAGUCGCUGUACUUGAAAAGAGGUCAAUGCGUUAAGCAUUGAUGAACUUGGUUGGUAACACGGAGUAUUAACUCUUGUCCCUUUA
rnacentral:ncRNA from 1 species